rnacentral:rRNA from 1 species
UACGUAGGGUGCAAGCGUUGUCCGGAAUUAUUGGGCGUAAAGAGCUCGUAGGCGGUUUGUCGCGUCUGCUGUGAAAACUCGGGGCUCAACUCCGAGCUUGCAGUGGAUACGGGCAGACUAGAGUGCGGUAGGGGAGACUGGAAUUCCUGGUGUAGCGGUGGAAUGCGCAGAUAUCAGGAGGAACACCGGUGGCGAAGGCGGGUCUCUGGGCCGUAACUGACGCUGAGGAGCGAAAGCAUGGGGAGCGAACAGG